AGCGGUAACAUUUCUAGCUUGCUAGCAGACGACGAGCGGCGGACGGGUGAGUAAUACUUAGGAAUCUACCUAGUAGUGGGGGAUAGCACGGGGAAACUCGUAUUAAUACCGCAUACGACCUACGGGAGAAAGGGGGCAGUUUACUGCUCUCGCUAUUAGAUGAGCCUAAGUCGGAUUAGCUAGAUGGUGGGGUAAAGGCCUACCAUGGCGACGAUCUGUAGCUGGUCUGAGAGGAUGAUCAGCCACACCGGGACUGAGACACGGCCCGGACUCCUACGGGAGGCAGCAGUGGGGAAUAUUGGACAAUGGGGGAAACCCUGAUCCAGCCAUGCCGCGUGUGUGAAGAAGGCCUUUUGGUUGUAAAGCACUUUAAGCAGUGAAGAAGACUCUUCGGUUAAUACCCGGAGACGAUGACAUUAGCUGCAGAAUAAGCACCGGCUAACUCUGUGCCAGCAGCCGCGGUAAUACAGAGGGUGCAAGCGUUAAUCGGAAUUACUGGGCGUAAAGGGAGCGUAGGUGGCUCGAUAAGUCAGAUGUGAAAUCCCCGGGCUCAACCUGGGAACUGCAUCUGAUACUGUUGAGCUAGAGUAUGUGAGAGGAAGGUAGAAUUCCAGGUGUAGCGGUGAAAUGCGUAGAGAUCUGGAGGAAUACCGAUGGCGAAGGCAGCCUUCUGGCAUAAUACUGACACUGAGGCUCGAAAGCGUGGGUAGCAAACAGGAUU
rnacentral:rRNA from 1 species